CAUAUGGCACCUAGGACCACCACUGAGAAUCCUUCUGCCCAGGUGAUGACUGGAUCAGCAGCUCAACCAGUUGCAGUAGCAGCCCAGGCCCAGGUGAGUGUAUCAGUUUCACCAACACCAGCAGUGACCACAGAUUCUGCUGCUUUAGCACUGACCACAGUAAAGAAAAAGCGAGUUAGACCCAGAAAAUAUGGGCCAGAUGGGUCAGUACCCACGUCUAUUAUUUCUCCUAAGCCUAUUUCAUCCUCCGCCUGCUGCUUUUGCACUGACAACAGUGAAGAAAAAGCGAGGUAGACCCAGAAAAUAUGGGCCAGAUGGGUCAGUACCCACGUCUGUUAUUUCUCCUAAGCCCAUUUCAUCCGCUGCACCAUC
rnacentral:lncRNA from 1 species